AUUGAACGCUGGCGGCAUGCCUUACACAUGCAGGUCGAACGGUAACAGGUCUUCGGAUGCUGACGAGUGGCGAACGGGUGAGUAAUACAUCGGAACGUGCCUAGUAGUGGGGGAUAACUACUCGAAAGAGUGGCUAAUACCGCAUGAGAUCUACGGAUGAAAGCAGGGGAUCGCAAGACCUUGUGCUACUAGAGCGGCCGAUGGCAGAUUAGGUAGUUGGUGGGAUAAAAGCUUACCAAGCCGACGAUCUGUAGCUGGCCUGAGAGGACGAUCAGCCACACUGGGACUGAGACACGGCCCAGACUCCUACGGGAGGCAGCAGUGGGGAAUUUUGGACAAUGGGCGCAAGCCUGAUCCAGCAAUGCCGCGUGCAGGAUGAAGGCCUUCGUGUUGUAAACUGCUUUUGUACGGAACGAAAAGCCCCGGGUUAAUACCCUGGGGUCAUGACGGUACCGUAAGAAUAAGCACCGGCUAACUGCGUGCCAGCCGCCGCCGUAA
rnacentral:rRNA from 1 species